rnacentral:lncRNA from 1 species
GGAGGAGAGCAGAGGUGAUUCCUAGGAGAGAGAAGCAGCUGCAAACUGCACUUGGACUUGUACUGUGGGGGCCAGAUUCAUCUACAUUGGCAGAUUGCUAUGACCCAACCACAAAUGGCUCCCAUUUGUCUUGUGGAAAACCACAAUGAACAGCUGUUGGUGAACCAGGAAGCCAUAGAGAUUCUGGACAAGAUUUCUCAGCCAGUGGUAGUUGUGGCUAUUGUUGGAUUGUACCGUACAGGGAAGUCCUAUUUGAUGAAUUGUCUGGCGGGACAGAAUCACGAUGGGGGAUAACUCACUGGAUACUGAAGAAGCCGAUUACCAUCUCACUUGCAGAUGGACAAUGGAAAUCGCUCCAAUGUCAAGCGCUUCUUCCAGCAGGCUCUCUACCCCAGGGAAAGCUACAUAACCUGCAGAAGCUGCCGGUUCACUGUGCCUUUGAGGCUGGACAUUUCUUCAGUUUAAUGUCAACAUAGAUCAUCCUGGGCAGGUUGGGGUUGGAUGGGUAUGGUUGUGGGGAACAGGCAGGUGCCUGAUGACCUGGACAACCCAGACCAGUUGCUGGCAUUAAUACACUGCCUGUUUGGGAAGUUUAUUUAGUGAACCCUUAUAAGAUUAUUUUUAAAUAUUACAAGUCUGUAAGCCAAACCACUGUAGUCAUUAAAACCCUGAAGGAGCAAAAGAAAA